AGAAAGAAGAGGACCUAAAACUGCGAAAAAAAACGCUUUUGCAAUAUUUUAUCGUUUAGUAAAUAUGACGUGGAACCAAUGACUCCUGCGAUUAUUUAUUUGAUCUCGUCAAUGGCAAAAAAGUAACGCGUUACCGGUAGCGUUACUUCAAGGCCUGUCAAUGUUACUUCGUUUUAUCAAAUGGAGACGCCUAUCUUCUUAAUUUCCAUCGCUAUUCGAUAUGGGCAGGGGUAAAAAAGGAAUUCGGCAAAAAAGAGGUGAAUCAAGUGGAUAACCUUCUACCCACGCGCCAUCAUUGGGUCUAUGAGGGUUGAUAUCUGAUCAUCUGGAAGCAACUCUGGACUCGACACUAUUCACUUUUUACCCCAACAUUCGAACAAAUUUGAUCCAGAACAUUCCUGUCUUGAAAGUUGUUUUGUCUCCCAAGUUUAUGAUUUUAUGAAUUUUGAUGUUCAAGAUCCUGGGAUCUACGAUUUUUAUCCAUGACCACAGAGCAAUGUGCAACGGAAGAAACAUUGGCAGAUGAUUUAAGCAACAUCGUAAAGUUAAACAGAGCAAGCACAAAACGCACAUGGUGGCCCUCUUCUCGUCCGUUAAAGAAUUCAUGCAAAUGCCAAGUCUGGUUUGCCAACGGUUUGAUGGUGGAUAAGCGAUUUUUAUGGUGCGAUUGGUUUCUUUUUCUUGUUCGAAUCUACGAAUUUUCUUCCAUCUUGAUAAGACGUGUAAAGCUCAGAUUUGAGACUGGUUAUUUUCGAAUGCACACCCUGUCAACUCAAACGGGGCUCGUUUCAUGUAAUGAAAGCCUUUCAGAUUUUGGCGUCAGUUAUGAAUGCAAGUCGGACAAUAAAACGCAGAGAAAGUAGAAACAAUCUUUGUUUUUUUCCCUUCUUUCCUUUUGGCAAUUGUUAUCAUCCAUCUAGAGCAAAGAUUGUUAUGUUGUGUGUGGGCCUCACAAUGAUUUGGGUUGAAAAUGACAGGGUCCCGUGUUCAGUUCAUACAUUACAAGGACCGACC